rnacentral:misc_RNA from 1 species
ACCAGGGCUUCUUCGUGAGGAGGUAAGUACCUCAAUCUUCUGUAUGUUUGUCUCCCUCACUGAUAUGUUCUCAAUUAUUUCCUUUUGGAAGGUAUCAGGUGUCUUUUAACCAAAAAAAUCAUCAAACAGUUCUCGCCUGAUUAGAAUUACUUAUCAUGAGGUAGAACUAGAGGUUGCAUAGGCUAUUUUAGGUGCUUAAUCAACUAUUUUCUUAGGUGAAUUUAUAAUAUGUGCUCUAGCACAUACCUAUCUGGCACCACCAUUUCAAUAUUUGGCAGUCUGAAGGGCAUCAGCUUUUGUUAUAAUCAUGUACAAUGAUGGAGUCAAAUGAAUGGCAAACUCAUUAUGCAAGAGUGUGUGGCCCUAGUCAUGAAUAGGCCCUUGAGACGGUCAAUGUUGUGUUUGCUUGGUUGUUUCAACUGUGAAUCCCGGUAAUAUUUGAUGAGAAUCUGUCUAUGGAUAUGAGAAAGCAGCCCAUGAGAGUCGAUAUUGAUUGAAAAGAUCAAUUGAAGCAAACUUUUAUUUACUAAAUUAUGUAUAAAUUAGGGCUGUUGCUAUAAUCCUGGUUUGAUUCACCUUUAACCUUUUUCUUGCUGGCAAAGCUUGCAUGCUUGUGCUUCAGCAGAAGUACUCAUGAAAUUAUUUUUCAAACUCAGGUCCG